rnacentral:rRNA from 1 species
AUUGAACGCUGGCGGCAGGCCUAACACAUGCAAGUCGAACGGAAGCAGGGGGCUUGCUGGCGCAUGCGGGGGCGGAGGGGCGGGUAAUGCCUAAAAAUCUGGAAGGUCGCGUGGGAUGGGGUGCUAAUACGGGCACUCAUACUGCAAACGUCCAUAGGGCGAAAGUGGGAGAUCAUGGGAUCUCACGAUAUCAGGUGAGCGUAGGUGGGAAUAGUUAGUUGGUGGGGUAGAGGCCGACCAAGGCGACGAUGCGUAACUGGUCUGAGAGGAUGAUCAGUCACACUGGAACUGAGACACGGUCCAGACUCCUACGGGAGGCAGCAGUGGGGAAUAUUGGACAAUGGGCGAAAGCCUGAUCCAGCCAUACCGCGUGGGUGAAGAAGGUCUUCGGCUUGUAAAGCACUUUAGGUGGGGAGGAAGGGCAGCAAGUUAAUACCUUGCUGUUUUGACGGUACCGACAGAAUAAGCACCGGCUAACUUCGUG